CCUAACACAUGCAAGUCGAGCGGAAACGACACUAACAAUCCUUCGGGUGCGUUAAUGGGCGUCGAGCGGCGGACGGGUGAGUAAUGCCUAGGAAAUUGCCUUGAUGUGGGGGAUAACCAUUGGAAACGAUGGCUAAUACCGCAURAUGCCUACGGGCCAAAGAGGGGGACCUUCGGCGCUCUCGCGUCAAGAUAUGCCUAGGUGCGAUUAGCUAGUUGGUGAGGUAAUGGCUCACCAAGGCGACGAUCCCUAGCUGGUCUGAGAGGAUGAUCAGCCACACUGGAACUGAGACACGGUCCAGACUCCUACGGGAGGCAGCAGUGGGGAAUAUUGCACAAUGGGCGAAAGCCUGAUGCAGCCAUGCCGCGUGUAUGAAGAAGGCCUUCGGGUUGUAAAGUACUUUCAGUUGUGAGGAAGGGUGUGUAGUUAAUAGCUGCRCAUCUUGACGUUAGCAACAGAAGAAGCACCGGCUAACUCCGUGCCAGCAGCCGCGGUAAUAC
rnacentral:rRNA from 1 species